rnacentral:piRNA from 1 species
UGAGAUGUACGAUCUGGACGGUGAC